GGGAUAUUACAUCAAUUACAUUCAUCGUUAUCCAUCCCAUGAACCCCAUGUUCAUUAUUCUUUCUUAAUGUCGAAGCCAUACCAUUCCUUGUAUGCUAAGACCGAUCGUUCCUCGCAACAAUGUUGCGUUCACAGCGUCUAUACGCUUUACACUUAUCUCUCAUUAUCACAACAUAACAUCGAAAUGUUUCUUGUUACUUCGUCACUCAACGUCUAAGGAAUCACAAUCAUAGUAAUUCCUCACAUUCAUUUCAUCACGACUACGGUCCCCGGAUAUCGGUUACGUAAUCUAGCAUUUACAUUAUUUUAG
rnacentral:lncRNA from 1 species